rnacentral:pre_miRNA from 1 species
CCACCUCCCCUGCAAACGUCCAGUGAGGCCGAGGUUAUGGACGUUGGCUGCGGUGGUGAUG